rnacentral:rRNA from 1 species
GGCAAUGGACGAAAGUCUGACCGAGCAACGCCGCGUGAGUGAAGAAGGUUUUCGGAUCGUAAAGCUCUGUUGUAAGUCAAGAACGUGUGUGAGAGUGGAAAGUUCACACAGUGACGGUAGCUUACCAGAAAGGGACGGCUAACUACGUGCCAGCAGCCGCGGUAAUACGUAGGUCCCGAGCGUUGUCCGGAUUUAUUGGGCGUAAAGGGAGCGCAGGCGGUCAGGAAAGUCUGGAGUAAAAGGCUAUGGCUCAACCAUAGUGUGCUCUGGAAACUGUCUGACUUGAGUGCAGAAGGGGAGAGUGGAAUUCCAUGUGUAGCGGUGAAAUGCGUAGAUAUAUGGAGGAACACCAGUGGCGAAAGCGGCUCUCUGGUCUGUCACUGACGCUGAGGCUCGAAAGCGUGGGUAGCGAACAGGAUUAGAUACCCUGGUAGUCCACGCCGUAAACGAUGAGUGCUAGGUGUUAGGCCCUUUCCGGGGCUUAGUGCCGGAGCUAACGCAAUAAGCACUCCGCCUGGGGAGUACGACCGCAAGGUUGAAACUCAAAGGAAUUGACGGGGGCCCGCACAAGCGGUGGAGCAUGUGGUUUAAUUCGAAGCA